rnacentral:lncRNA from 1 species
AUGAACGUGAAGAUACAUUUCAAAUUUCAGGUACUCUGUAGUCUGAUGGUAAUCUUUUUAACAUUUCUUGCCUGUAGGAAGCUCAUUCGUACACACCUUCAAAGAGGACUCCUAUGGGGAAAUCCUCAAUGUGGCCAUCGGUCGCUACCUCAGACCAGAAAGGAACUUCGAUUCUUUAGAGUCACUUAUUUCAGCCAUUCAAGGUGAUAUUGAGGAAGCCAAGAAACGACUUAAUUUACCAGCACAUUUGAAACUCUAGGAAGACAAUUUCUUCCAGGUUCCUAAAAGCAAAAUAAUGAAUGGCCACUGAUGAAAAGUCAUCUUAUUCAUUCACUGUGUUCUGGCAUUUUACUGCUCAUCACUGUGCAGUCUUAUCUUGGUUCUAUUUGAAAAAUCAAACAUUUUCCUACAGCUGUGAAUUACUUUAAACACCACAGUGUAGUUAUGCUUAAAUUGUUCAGUUAAACCCAUCAUGCUACAGUACUAAAAAGAUUCAUUAUAAAAAUCAAGAUUCUUUUUUAUGUAUGUAAUAUGUUGGUUAAAGUGUAGAAAAGUCUUAAGUGUCUUAUAAUGGAAAUGAAAUAUAUAGAGUAUGGGUAAAAAGGCAAGUCCCUAGUUGGAGGGGAGAAGGACAGCUGUCAUGGUAAAAUACUAGCAUGUCUGUACUUGUGUAGCGUGUGCUGCUCAACACAAGUGAUAAAAGUCAGCGGGUUAAACAGAGAUUUGAUAGUUUAUUAUAAUCCUCAGGGAGAAAAUCCAGACUUUAUGAUACUUUGUGCAUUACUAUAUUAUUACAGACAUGAAGAUUUGUGAAAUUUCAUUGUAAUCAGUCAUUUUCUUAAUGGGGUCAGAUCAUUGUACUGUGCUCCAUUUUUCUUCCAGCUGCCUCAGUUCUAAUUGGUCUAGACUCCUUCAGCCUAUCAUUUUUUGCUUGUCUUUCAAAGCAGUAACAUGAGUGGUUUUUGAACCUCUAACUCUCUUCUUUUUUUUUUAUUUUUUUAAAUUUUUUUAAAGAUUUUAUUUUUUUCCUUUUUCUCCCCAAAGCCCCCCAGUACAUAGUUGUAUAGUCUUCGUUGUGGGUCCUUCUAGUUGUGGCAUGUGGGACGCUGCCUCAGCGUGGUCUGAUGAGCAGUGCCAUGUCCGCACCCAGGAUUCGAACCAACGAAACACUGGGCCGCCUGCAGCGGAGCGGGCAAACUUAACCACUCGGCCAUGGGGCCAGCCCCUAACUCUCUUCUUUUUAAGAGUAGAUAUUCUUUUUCAACAUUUUUCUCUAUUUCAGUCUUUUUUCCUUUAACCAAUUGUCUGUGUCAGGUUUUUUCCCAUUUAAAAUAUCCUACAACUGUUGACUUACAAAAGAUUGCAUCUGUCUCUACCAUUCCAUCCCUUCGCUAUAUGAACAGUGAUUAAGUGCAUAUCUGUAUUACAUUUUAGAAAAAACCCAAAAACUUCAUCUUUAGGGCUCUUCAAAGUUUAAAUGAACACACAGCAGUUCAUUUAGAUAUACUAGCUUCUUAAAGAACACAAAAUACUUGUUUUCCCCCAGGGAAACUAUUUAAGAGCCAAUGAAACUAUGAAGCCGAAAGUUAUUUAUUUUUAAUGUAAUCAUAUGUCUCUGAGCAGCUGUACACAGUUGUAGUUGUGUAUGUACAAUGUAAUUGAACGCUAAAGAGUGCUUGUAGUUGGGGAAAAGACAUAAAUAAUAAAAUUUUAGUUAAAUAAUCUUCA